rnacentral:rRNA from 1 species
ACUCCUGCGGGAGGCAGCAGUGGGGAAUUUUGGACAAUGGGCGAAAGCCUGAUCCAGCAAUGCCGCGUGAGUGAAGAAGGCCUUCGGGUUGUAAAGCUCUUUUGUCAGGGAAGAAACGGUGAGAGCUAAUAUCUCUUGCUAAUGACGGUACCUGAAGAAUAAGCACCGGCUAACUACGUGCCAGCAGCCGCGGUAAUACGUAGGGUGCAAGCGUUAAUCGGAAUUACUGGGCGUAAAGCGUGCGCAGGCGGUUUUGUAAGUCUGAUGUGAAAUCCCCGGGCUCAACCUGGGAAUUGCAUUGGAGACUGCAAGGCUAGAAUCUGGCAGAGGGGGGUAGAAUUCCACGUGUAGCAGUGAAAUGCGUAGAUAUGUGGAGGAACACCGAUGGCGAAGGCAGCCCCCUGGGUCAAGAUUGACGCUCAUGCACGAAAGCGUGGGGAGCAAACAGGAUUAGAUACCCUUGUAGUCCCAUGA